rnacentral:rRNA from 1 species
CUUAAAGGGUCCUGAAGGAACGUUGAAGACGACGACGUUGAUAGGCCGGGUGUGUAAGCGCAGCGAUGCGUUGAGCUAACCGGUACUAAUGAACCGUGAGGCUUAACCUU